rnacentral:rRNA from 1 species
UACGUAGGGUGCAAGCGUUGUCCGGAAUUAUUGGGCGUAAAGAGCGCGUAGGCGGUCUGUCGCGUCGGGUGUGAAAUCCCGGAGCUCAACUCCGGGGCUGCAGUCGAUACGGGCAAACUGGAGUACUGCAGGGGAGACUGGAAUUCCUGGUGUAGCGGUGAAAUGCGCAGAUAUCAGGAGGAACACCGGUGGCGAAGGCGGGUCUCUGGGCAGUAACUGACGCUGAGGAGCGAAAGCGUGGGGAGCGAACAGG